AAGGACUUUGUUCAUGAUCUGCAGUAAAAUUCGUACAUUUCAUUCUGCAACAUUGUAGCCCUAUUGUCGUUUUCUCCCAUUAUCCCGCCCUAAUUAGUGGUAAACCUGGCUGGCGUAAGCUGAGGUGGCUCCUGAAGGAAACAAUCUGGUCCAAAACAAGAUUGGGGGUGGCAUUCCUUCCUCAAACUGCAAGUCAGUGCUUGGUGAAGCUGGGGCUAUUAAACAGCCUGAAGCUGAAGAGAGUGGAAGGAAGUGAUGUCAUCAGACAGAAGUGAUGCACUCAGUGGUGCUAGUGGCACACAGCCCGCAGUCACACCUCAGGGCCACUGGGUCUCACAGCGCCCCCAGCAGGCAUCGGUGGUGAUGUGCAUACCCCCGCAGCCCGGUUUGCGAGCCAGGAAGGUGAACUCCCUCACAGCGCAGCCAAUGAAACGCCGCAGGUUGAUGUGAGCCUCCCCCGUCGCCGCGGG